UACCAAGGCCCACUGAUCAUUGAGACUGACAUCAAAAUGAUUGCAAAUGAAUUGGGAUAAGCCAGAUCAAGCCGAUCGGAUUGUUUUCUGGGUUGUCAGUGAGAUAAAAAACACAAGCCGGAUCUUCAGUUCAGUUCAGGCCAAGGCCAUCAAAAGGGAACAAAACUGUCUAGCACAUGAGCUUGGCUGCCAGAGCUGGACGGCAUGAGGACUCACUGAUAAUUGCGGACGUGCCCGAGGAGCUUCGUUCGCUGAUGCUAUCUGAAUGUACCAAGUGAUGUGUUUGGUCCUUUUUUAGGCCAUCUUGAAGAUUGCAGGUUUUAAUCAAGAAGUCCUCAAUAGGUGGACUGGCUCAAAAUGGAGAAGCACGCUGGUAGCUUUUUGGUUGAUUGUAUUAAGCAUUUAAGUUCAUAGCAAUUCAUACCAUCAAUAUCUUUGGGGUGCCUUGUACUCCUUCCGUAAAAUAAUACAAGAGCAUAGUGAUCUAAACACUCUUAUAUUAUAGUUUA